CCCUGGCUCCGCCACUGCUAAAGGGAUCCUUCAUCAAAGAUCUUGUGUUGAAUCCCCUCAACAAAAUGGAAUUGUUGAGAGGAAACAUCAACACAUUCUUAAUGUUGCUAGAUCCCUUUCUUUUCAAGCUUCUUUACCUACUAAUUUUUGGCAUUUUUCUAUUUAACAUGUUGUUCAUCUAAUAAAUAGGAUACCUACUCCUCUUCUUAAAAAUACUACUCCUUAUAAUCUUCUUUUUCAACAACCUCCUAUUUUUCUGCAUUUAAAAUCUUUGCCCCCUGGUAUUAAAAUCUCUAAUUCCGAUACUAGAACAACCAAGGUAUGUGAGCUUCAAAAAUCUAUAUAUGGCCUCAAGCAGGCAAGUAGACAAUGGUAUUCUAAGUUAUCUGAAUCUCUCAUUUCCUUUGGUUAUCUACAAUCCUCUUCUGAUUUUUCCCUUUUUACAAAAUUUAAAGAUUCUUCAUUUACUACAUUGUUAGUAUAUGUUGAUGACAUUGUUUUAGCUGGAAAUGAUAUAUCUGAAAUCCAACAUGUUAAAUGUUUUCUUAUUGAUCGUUUUAAAAUCAAAGACCUUGGUUCCUUACGAUAUUUUCUAGGUCUUGAGGUUGCUAGAAGCAAACAAGGCAUUUUACUUAAUCAAAGAAAAUAUACUCUUGAACUUUUAGAGGAUAGUGGUAAUCUUGCUGUAAAAUCCACUCUUACUCCUUAUGAUAUUUCUUUAAAACUCCACAAUUCUGAUUCGCCCCUUUACAAUGAUGAAACUCAAUAUAGAAGACUCAUAGGCAAACUUAUUUAUUUAACUACUACUCGUCCUGAUAUAUCCUUUGCUGUUCAACAAUUAAGCCAAUUUGUUUCGAAACCUCAGCAAGUUCACUAUCAGGCUGCUAUUAGAGUUUUACAAUAUCUGAAAACUGCCCCUGCCAAAGGAUUAUUCUACUCAGCAACUUCUAAUUUGAAACUUUCUAGUUUUGCAGAUUCUGAUUGGGCAACUUGUCCUACAACCAGGAAAUCUGUAACGGGUUAUUGUGUGUUUCUUGGAUCUUCUCUCAUUUCAUGGAAAUCCAAGAAGCAGUCGAUCGUCUCCAAAUCAAGCUCAGAAGCUGAAUAUCGCGCAUUAGCAAGCCUUACAUGUGAACUGCAAUGGCUAAUGUACCUCUUUAAAGAUCUGCACCUCUCUUUCUCUUCUCCUGCUUCUGUUUUCUGCGACAAUAAAUCAGCCAUCUACCUCGCACAUAACCCCAGUUUCCAUGAACGUACUAAACACAUUGAAAUAGAUUGUCACAUCAUUAGAGAGAAGAUUCAAAAUGGUCUGCUGCGACUAUUUCCCAUACCUUCUGCUGCGCAAACAGCCGACGUACUUACAAAACCUUUACACAGUCCCUCGUUCCUUACUUUCAUAUCCAAGCUUGGCCUUGAUGACAUUCACAGUCCAGCUUGUGGGGGAGUAUUACCUACUGAUAUUACUUGACCAAAUGUGUAAUUAAUUGUAAUUGAUUGUUACUUGGUCAAAUUAAUUUAAUAUGUAAUUAAUUGUAGUUAUUGUGAUGAGCUAAUCUGUAUUGUUACUAACGGCUCUAUAGUUAGACUAUAUAAAGAGAAGGUGUUCUCCUUCUCUAU
rnacentral:lncRNA from 1 species